rnacentral:lncRNA from 1 species
GUUUAAAUUAAAGUUCGGGUUACUGUUUGAGUUAAACUUUGAGUAAGUUUUAGAAUUCGAGUCAUGCUUAGAAUUUAAGUUCUAUUUUGCAUUGAGUUUCGAGUUAGACUUCGAGUUUGAGUCACAUUUAGUCCUAUAAUAUAAGACUCUGCAGUUUCAUAUCAUUUACAUUCAACGUUUUUUAUCGGAUUUUUUUUUUUU